rnacentral:rRNA from 1 species
UGGGGAAUAUUGCACAAUGGGCGCAAGCCUGAUGCAGCCAUGCCGCGUGUAUGAAGAAGGCCUUCGGGUUGUAAAGUACUUUCAGCGGGGAGGAAGGGAGUAAAGUUAAUACCUUUGCUCAUUGACGUUACCCGCAGAAGAAGCACCGGCUAACUCCGUGCCAGCAGCCGCGGUAAUACGGAGGGUGCAAGCGUUAACCGGAAUUACUGGGCGUAAAGCGCACGCAGGCGGUUUGUUAAGUCAGAUGUGAAAUCACCGGGCUCAACCUGGGAACGGCAUCUGAUACUGGCAAGCUUGAGUCUCGUAGAGGGGGGUAGAAGUCCAGGUGUAGCGGUGAAAUGCGUAGAGAUCUGGAGGAAUACCGGUGGCGAAGGCGGCCCCCUGGACGAAGACUGACGCUCAGGUGCGAAAGCGUGGGGAGCAAACAGG